GGUGACUGCGUACCUUUUGCAUAAUGGGUCAGCGACUUACGUUUAAUGGCGAGCUUAACCGUAUAGGGGAGGCGCAGCGAAAGCGAGUUCGAACAGAGCGUUCAGUCGUUAGGCGUAGACCCGAAACCAGAUGAUCUAUCCAUGGCCAGGUUGAAGGUGUGGUAACACACACUGGAGGACCGAACCGACUAGUGUUGCAAAAUUAGCGGAUGAGCUGUGGAUAGGGGUGAAAGGCUAAACAAAUCUGGAGAUAGCUGGUUCUCCCCGAAAACUAUUGAGGUAGUGCCUCGUGUAUGACUCCAGGGGGUAGAGCACUGUUAUGGCUAGGGGGACAUGGCGUCUUACCAAACCAUGGCAAACUCCGAAUACUUGGAAGUUUGAGCACGGGAGACAGAGCACCGGGUGCUAACGUCCGGACUCAAGAGGGAAACAACCCAGACCGCCGGCUAAGGUCCCUAAUAUUGACUAAGUGGAAAACGAAGUGGAAAGGCUAAGACAGUCAGGAAGUUGGCUUAGAAGCAGCCAUCCUUCAAAGAAAGCGUAAUAGCUCACUGAUCGAGUCUUUCUGCGCGGAAGAUGUAACGGGGCUAAGUCAAUAACCGAAGCCGCGGAUUCACACUUGUGUGUGAGUGGUAGGGGAGCGUUCUGUAAGCCUGCGAAGGUGACUCGUAAGGGUUGCUGGAGGUAUCAGAAGUGCGAAUGCUGACAUGAGUAACGUUAAAGCGGGUGAAAAGCCCGCUCGCCGUAAGCCCAAGGUUUCCUGCUCUACGUUCAUCGGAGCAGGGUGAGUCGGCCCCUAAGGUGAGGCUGAGAAGCGUAACUGAUGGGAACAAGGUUAAUAUUCCUUGACCACCGCUGAAUGCGAAGGGGGGACGGAGUAUUGAAGAUCAUCCGGGUGUUGGAUAUCCCGGUUUGCGAGCGUAGGAGGCUGACAGGCAAAUCCGUCAGCGAAUCUCCGAGGCAAAGCAUCGAGCUCUCUUUUGAGCGAAGUGAUUGGAUGUGCUUCCAGGAAAAGCCUCUAAGCUCCAGUUCAGCGGGACCGUACCGCAAACCGACACUGGUGGGCGAGCUGAAUAUGCUCAGGCGCUUGAGAGAACUCAGGAGAAGGAACUCGGCAAAUUGACACCGUAACUUCGGGAUAAGGUGUGCCUUUGUAGCGUGGAGGGAGAAACACCCCGAGCGCGAAGAGGUCUCAGAUAAUCGGUGGCUGCGACUGUUUAUUAAAAACACAGCACUCUGCAAAGACGAAAGUCGACGUAUAGGGUGUGAUGCCUGCCCGGUGCUGGAAGAUUAAUUGAUGGGGUGCAAGCUCCUGAUCGAAGUCCCAGUAAACGGCGGCCGUAACUAUAACGGUCCUAAGGUAGCGAAAUUCCUUGUCGGGUAAGUUCCGACCUGCACGAAUGGCAUAACGAUGGCCACACUGUCUCCUCCUGAGACUCAGUGAAGUUGAAGUGUUUGUGAUGAUGCAAUCUCCCCGCGGCUAGACGGAAAGACCCCAUGAACCUUUACUGUAGCUUUGCAUUGGACUUUGAACCGAUCUGUGUAGGAUAGGCGGGAGCCUGUGAAACCACAACGCCAGUUGUGGCGGAGGCGUCCUUGAAAUACCGCCCUGAUUUGUUUGAGGUUCUAACCUGGGACAGUCAUCCUGUCCGGGGACCGUGCAUGGUAGGCAGUUUGACUGGGGCGGUCUCCUCCUAAAGGGUAACGGAGGAGUGCGAAGGUACGCUAGGUACGGUCGGAAAUCGUGCUGAUAGUGCAAUGGCAAAAGCGUGCUUGACUGCGAGACCCACAAGUCGAGCAGAUACGAAAGUAGGUCAUAGUGAUCCGGUGGCUCUGUAUGGAAGGGCCAUCGCUCAACGGAUAAAAGGUACUCUGGGGAUAACAGGCUGAUACCGCCCAAGAGUUCAUAUCGACGGCGGUGUUUGGCAC
rnacentral:rRNA from 1 species